rnacentral:rRNA from 1 species
UACGUAGGGGGCAAGCGUUGUCCGGAAUCAUUGGGCGUAAAGGGUGCGUAGGCGGCGCGGUAAGUCGGGUGUGAAAUCUCGGAGCUUAACUCCGAAACUGCAUUCGAUACUGCCGUGCUUGAGGACUGGAGAGGAGACUGGAAUUUACGGUGUAGCGGUGAAAUGCGUAGAUAUCGUAAGGAAGACCAGUGGCGAAGGCGGGUCUCUGGGACGGUACUGACGCUGAGACGCGAAAGCGUGGGGAGCGAACAGG